CAUUCCCUAAAAAGAAAGAGAAAACGGACAGUUCGUCAUCGGGGGCGCCGUAAGCGGAGACUCGCGUCGAGCUGGUUGGAUUCGGUUCCGCGCGGGUGGUUUCACCGAUUUAUCGGCGCUUGGUGCAAAAGCUGCUCCCUGGUGGGAGCAACGGCUUCGUAAUCCGGCCCGUGAUUCAAUCGGAGACUUUGCAACCCAACGUAUCGCCCUGCAACCGGACCGGAGCUCGUCCCAGUAUUUUUUCUCCAAGCACACGCUGUGUCCUGCAAGCACAGACUAUAUCCUCCGAGCACAGACUAUAUCCUCCGAGCACAGACUAUCUCUUCCGAGCACACACUUCACUAUAACUUACUAACUGCAUCAUGUUUUCCCUUGUAUUUUAGUUUUUUUUUCCUUUUGCCACCGACCCCCCAUCUCCAAGUAAACACCCCAAGACCUUUCAGCUUCCAAGACCCCACCCCGGGUGCCGUGCAGCAUCCCAGAAGCGUAGAAAUAACUCGAGCACUUAAGCACCAAGAUAAAAUGAAAUCGAAAAGCAGAGAAACGCAUUUACCCAGCAAGAAAUGAAGAACCAAGAGUGCCGCGAUUAGAAAGUUCAUCAUCCCGCGCUUUGGCGUCGUCUGCCGGUGCCGCUCGGCGCUUCUGCUCAGAAAUUUGUCUGAGACGUCCCAGCGGACGCAGGAAAUGACUUUUCUGAGGGCUGGACCGAGCAGCCCCUGCCCUCAGAGAAGAGACAAGUUUUCCUGCGAUUUGCCGAGCGGUGCGAUGCCCGGCCGGGAGAUGCGCGACGCCCGUGACGCCGCUCCGGCGAGAGAAGAAAUUAAUUUUUAUUUAUUUUUUUUUUUUCUUUCUGCAAAGACUUUUCCAACGGCUUGAGUUGCAAAUCUUGGGAAGUUAUUCCUCAGGGAGAGUCGGCUGGAUGAGCUCACAAAUAGAGGGUGGUUUUGAUUAUGCUACAGCCGAGGAUAACAGGAGCUAUUAAUAGCAAAUCCUCGCAGAGAGGGCGGCGAUUGAGGCAAAGGCAGAAACGACCGCUGGGAGCCAGAUUCAGUUCCCGACUUCCCUUAAAAUCUUGGGGGAUUAUUUUAUUUUUUUUCUUGGCUUCACUUCACCUUCCCAUGCCUCAGUUUCUCCAUCGGGAGGAAGAAACACGAAUGGUCGCGAGCUUAUUUUAUUUUCUAGCAGGUAGAAAUACCCCAGUUGGGGCGUUUUAGGAGCCACUUUGGGCGUUUAUUAUCGCUCCCGUCGCCGCGUCAGCGGGGUGUGGUGCCUUGGUACCUCUUGGUACCAGCUGUUUACUUUUUCUUCCUCAACUAAAAAUAAAAACAAAAUAGAAAAAAAAACCAAACAUUUCUUGGAAGAGGAAUGGGGAGGGGAAAAGAAAGCUUUGCGGGGAAAAGCCGGUAGUGGUGCCGGGGGCCCGCGCGGAGGUGAUGGGAUGGGGCUGGUUGUGAAGCCAAAGGGGACCAGAAAGAGCAGGAGGUCAAUUAAGUGUAAGAAAAUUGGGGUAAAAUUGGUCCCAGAGUAGCGCGUGGUGGGGGCUGCUCGCCACUGUGGGUUUGAUGCCAUCGCUGUGCGUUGCUUACGCAGAAAUAAAAAUGAGAUUUUUGAGGGGGG